rnacentral:lncRNA from 1 species
AACUUAUUUGUGUAUGUUGAUUGAGAGUGCACGCUUAGUUUUCAUGCAUGAAUAUGAUGCUAGAUUAUGAGGGAAUUUCACCUAAUAGUUACAAUCUUAUAAUCACAAGUAGUGAAGUUCGCUUGAAAACGAUCGCGUUGAAUGAAUUCUUGGCACUAGUUUCAUGCUCAUCAUAGUAACGAAUGCCUCGUCAACACUUAUAGUUCUCAUUGUACUUCAUGAUUCUUGAUUGUAUCUUUAUUGUGCUCAUCACGUAAGGAACCUUUGAGGAAUGCUUUGAAUUGUUGUAUGCGCUUUUCCAUCCAAUUCAUUAACUUAAGGAUAACUUGAAGGUUAAUUUAAGCGUAUCUAAUUAACUUGGGGUGUUAAGUUUCAUAAUUUAUUGAAAGAACAACUGAAAAUCAUUUUGUUUGCAAGUGUGUCAUGUGUGGAGAAGAACCUCCUAACUAGCCUUUUAUCCAUCCUUUUCAUCCAAAAACGUUUUACAAUCUGUUUUGUUUUAAAGUUUAUGUUUUGUUUUCAAUUUUCGUCCAAAACAAAUCCCCUUUUAUUUUGAAGUCUUAGAUUAGUUAGAAAGUGUUUUGAUUUGUGUUUCUAAGUGUUUUGAUUCAAGUUUUCAUCCAACUUCGUCCAAGUUCUUGUUAGGUUCUCAAAACUGCCCAGAAAGUGGUUUUUAGGCAGUUUUGAGUCAUUAGGUUGCUGUUUUGAGUUUUAUGUUUGUUUAAGUAUUUUAAAGUAUAGUUUUGCAUUCUUUGAGUCUAGUUUAGUGUUUUAAAUUUUGUUUUUAUGUUUUUAAGUCAGUUUUCAAGUGUUUAGCAAUCCCUCCUAAUCCCCGGCCUAGAACGAUCCCUACUUACAUACUUUACUACAUUUGAUAAAAAGAGAGUUUAAUUUUGUGUGUUAAGUUAUUUUACGCAUCACUUAACAGGUCCUUAACAGGUCGAGCGAGUAAAGUGACCCGACCCGUUAUGACCCAUUAAGAAAAAUAUUUUUUUUUCUUAAAUUUGCACAUACCACACAUUGCCACAUAAAUAUUACUUCAAAACAUUAAAACACAUUUGUCGUUUAAGUACUAUAUCUACACUCGAAAAUAAGUGCCUAAUAAAAAAAUAAUACACACACUACUAAUCUAUUACAAAUAUUAAAUGUGCAAGGAUAUGAAAAAUGAAAUUUUUUUUGUUUUCUAGGUUGUGAAGUCUUUCUCAAAAGUUUAAACCUCAAUUUACAAAAUCCUCGAUUUACAUCGAUCAUCAUGAAAUUGUUUGGAACUUUAGCUUGAUCUCAGCCGAUCCAAUGGUCAUCAAUUUUUUAAAUUUAAUUUAAUAUAUAUAUAUAAUUAUAUU